GAAGCGGGAGAAUCGCUUCGUUUCCCGCGUUUUGACCGUUGUUUACCUUUUCGGCUCCUGGUGUUCCUGCAACCUUCGCAAGUCCACCUCCAUUUGUCGUGAUUCCCCGUUUCUGAGCGUUGAUUUUCCCUUCUUGGUGUCUUGUUGAUUUUUUUACGUAUGUAUUUCUUUCGCGAGAUUCCGAUUGCCUGUGUAUUUAGCCCAAAACUCGGUGUACCACGUGCUUUGAUAUCUGGGGGUUCCGUGACUGGGGCAACUGGGGUUUUUUGUGGAAAGACCUUCGGCAUUUUCCUAUUGAAACCAGACGUGGCUGUCGAGAUUCAGUCGAUUCGUUCUUUUUGCGGCGAUUAAUCGUCUGUUCGUCAUGACUGCUGGAUUGACGGUCAUCCUCCCGAGGCAAAGCAGCCCGCGGUGGACGUGCCGAGGUUCUGCGGGAAAGAGCAAGGAUGACCGGGAGACCAACACUUUCUGCAGGAGCCACAAGGCAGGCCAUGGUUUCAUCGAACAGCCGGGAGUAGAGCGGGAUGCUGAAGGAUAGCGGCGCUCACUUCAGUGAGCCCAGCUUGAACCCCACCAUUGGCGUCCUGGGCACCACUCUGAAUAAGCUGCUUCAGCUGUGACUUGUAGCACAAAGUUUCUGUCACCCAGUUCAUCGUCAUCUCGGAACCAAAGGCAUUGGUCCUGCCUGCUAGUCACCACUUGAAUAAAAGUUGGAAUGGUGCAGUGUG